rnacentral:rRNA from 1 species
UACGUAGGGUGCGAGCGUUAAUCGGAAUUACUGGGCGUAAAGCGUGCGUAGGCGGUUCGUUAAGUCUGCUGUGAAAGCCCUGGGCUCAACCUGGGAACUGCAGUGGAUACUGGCGGACUAGAGUGUGAUAGAGGAUGGUGGAAUUCCCGGUGUAGCGGUGAAAUGCGUAGAGAUCGGGAGGAACACCAGUGGCGAAGGCGGCCAUCUGGAUCAACACUGACGCUGAGGCACGAAAGCGUGGGGAGCAAACAGG